rnacentral:lncRNA from 1 species
GCAGGAGACACCUCGGCAGUCUGGAGCGCAAAGGCGCAGCAUCUUGGGCGGAGGAAGGACAACCUUGUAAGGAAACCAGGGCUGGGAAAAUCUCGCUGACUCACCACAUUUGGAGGCCAAUCCCGAAUCGGUGGAACAACGCGCCUCCCGAGAGACCCAGGACUAGCCUCCAGCCCCGAAACAGCGGUUCUUCACGUGACAGUCACCCCAGGAGCCAGUUUCAUGGAACAAAUGCAGAGAAUCCCGAACCAGCCCCUCCCCACCCCUGCUUCUCAGUCCAAGAAGAGGAGGACACCACUGUCAUCUUUCUUUUCCAAGGUCUCUUGGAAACUGAGGUUGCAGAAGCGGGAACCUUUGAAGAAUCUGUUUUUCGUCUUGGCAGAAAGAGCCCGGGGUCCUAAUCCUAGAAAGCGCCAUCUAGCAAUGAGAGGCCUGGGUAUCUUGGCCCAUGAAGCUCCUGACAAGGUAGGGGAG